rnacentral:rRNA from 1 species
AUUGAACGCUGGCGGCAUGCUUUACACAUGCAAGUCGAACGGUAACAGGCCGCAAGGUGCUGACGAGUGGCGAACGGGUGAGUAAUGCAUCGGAACGUGCCCAGUCGUGGGGGAUAACGCAGCGAAAGCUGUGCUAAUGCCGCAUACGAUCUAUGGAUGAAAGCGGGGGACCGUAAGGCCUCGCGCGAUUGGAGCGGCCGAUGUCAGUUUAGGUAGUUGGUGGGGUAAAGGCACACCAAGACAACGAUCUGUAGCUGGUCUGAGAGGACGACCAGCCACACUGGGACUGAGAAACGGCCCAGACUCCUACGGGAGGCAGCAGUGGGGAAUUUUGGACAAUGGGCGCAAGCCUGAUCCAGCAAUGCCGCGUGCAGGAAGAAGGCCUUCGGGUUGUAAACUGCUUUUGUACGGAACGAAAAGGUUUGGGUUAAUACCCUGGGCCGAUGACGGUACCGUAAGAAUAAGCACCGGCUAACUACGUGCCAGCAGCCGCCGUAA